rnacentral:rRNA from 1 species
ACGGGAGGCAGCAGUGAGGAAUAUUGGUCAAUGGGCGAGAGCCUGAACCAGCCAAGUCGCGUGAAGGAUGAAGGUUCUAUGGAUUGUAAACUUCUUUUAUUCGAGGGUAAAGUGAGUCACGUGUGGUUCAUUGCAAGUAUCGAAUGAAUAAGCAUCGGCUAACUCCGUGCCAGCAGCCGCGGUAAUACGGAGGAUGCGAGCGUUAUCCGGAUUUAUUGGGUUUAAAGGGUGCGUAGGCUGUGCGGCAAGUCAGGGGUGAAAGCCCGUCGCCUAACGACGGAACUGCCUUUGAUACUGUCGCGCUGGAAUACGGAUGCCGUGGGAGGAAUGAGUAGUGUAGCGGUGAAAUGCAUAGAUAUUACUCAGAACACCGAUUGCGAAGGCAUCUCACGAAUCCGUCAUUGACGCUGAGGCACGAAAGCGUGGGGAUCAAACAGGAUUAGAUACCCUGGUA